GGAGGUGGUUUGAUAAAUGUGAAGCUGCAUUCCAAGAUCUGAACGUUGUUGUGUUGGAAGAACCGGUGCUCAAAUUGCUGGACUAUGGGGAGCCCUUCGAAGUCCAUACAGAUGCUUCAGACUUCGCUAUUGGGGGAGUACUCAUGUAGGAGGGUCAUCCGGUGGCCUACGAGAGCCGCAAGCUCAACGAGACCGAGCGGCGGUAUCCGGUGCACGAGAAGGAGAUGACAGCGGUGGUCCACUGUCUACGAGUUUGGUGACACUACCUUCUUGGAUCGCGAUUUGUGCUGAGGACAGACAACAUCGCUUUAAGCUAUUUCCAAACUCAGAAGAAACUCUCCCCAAAGCAAGCACGAUGGCAGGACUUCCUGGCUGAGUUUGAGAUGACAAUGGAGUACAAGCCCGAAAAAGCAAAUGUCGUGGUCGAUGCAUUGAGCCCGAAGGUGGAGAGAGUGAAUGCCAUACAGUUGGAGGGCAGAGGCCAAGUAAGUCAAUUGCACUCCAACUUCCUUUCCAAGAUCAGGGAUGGACUGUAUAGUGAUCCCCAAGCAGUAACCCUGAUGCAACUCAUCAAAGAAGGCAAGGCACGACGAUUUUAGGUCCAGGAAGGACUCAUUUACACAAAAUGGAAUAGGGUUUAUAUCCCUCAAGUGGACAAUUUGAGGCGUGAGCUCUUAAGAGAGUGUCACGAUUCCCUUUGGGUUGGACAUCCGAGUAUUCACAAAACCUUGGCUCUCAUGGAGAGGGCCUUCUAUUGGUCGAAGAUGGGGACUGAUGUUGAGGAAUAUGUUCGAACGUGCCUCACUUGCCAACAAGACAAGGUGGAGCAACGGAAGCCGAUGGGACUUUUGGCAUCAUUGCCCGUACCAGAAAGGCUGUGGGAGAGCAUUUCCUUAGACUUCAUAUCAAGCUUGCCGACAGUAGGGGGAUUGGGAUCGAUACUCGUAGUAGUCGAUCGAUUUUUAAAGUUUGCAACUUUCAUUGCUGCGCCCCUACACUGUUCAGCAGAGGAGGCGGCCAAGCUGAUGAUGAAGAAUAUGGUGAAGUAUUGGGGAGUCUCACAUAAUAUUAUCGGUGAUUGUGAUGCUCGGUUCUUGCGAUGAUUUUGGACCGAGCUAUUCAAAUUAUUGGGGUCUAAGUUAUACUUUUCCACAAGCCUCCACCCCUAGACAGAUGGCCAAAUCGAAAGGAUAAACUCGCUCUUGGAACAAUAUCUUUGGCACUACGUGAGUGCCAACCAACGAGAUUGGGUGAAGCUGUUGGACAUAGCCCAAUUCUCCUGCAACUUGCAGCGGAGCUCUGUGUCCAACAAGAGCCCAUUCGAGAUCAUUACAGGACAACAAUCGUCGACUCCUUACACCCUGGAUAUCGGAUACACUGGGAGUAGUCCGUCAGCUUAUCACUUUGCCAAAGAAUGGCACUGAAAUGCAGAUAUUGCACGGGCUUACUUGGAGAAGGAGAUAAAAAAGAUAAAAAAGUGGGCCGACUUUGGAAGGCGAUCGUAAGAGUUCAAAGUCGACGAUUUAGUGUUGGUGAAGCUCCAACUAGCAUCACUCCAAUCCUUUAGGAACAAAGUACACAAAGGAUUGGUGCGCAAGUAUGAAGGGCCCUUCCCAAUUAUCAGUAGGGUGGGCAACGUCUCCUACAGGUUGCAGCUACCGGCGUGGCUCAAAAUUCAUAAUGUUUUUCACGCUAGCAACUUGAAAGCCUACCACUCAGAUCUGCAAGAUGCUUCCCAAAAUGUUCCAACUCGGCUACCCCUCACCAUAGCCUCCUACGAGAAGCGAGUUGAUACCAUUCUAGCGGAUCACAAGAUAAAGCUACCUAAUGGUGUUGAGCAGACCGAGUACUUGGUGAAGUGGCGAAAGCUUCCCCGAACUGAAGCAAGUUAGGAGCCCGAAGACGCCCUACGACAUGAAGAAGCAAUCAUCAACAACUACCAACAAGCAUCGAUGAGGGCGUCGACAGGUUAAGUGGGGCAGAAUGUCACGAACGGUCGUCGCGCACUCGCAACAACUUCGUUCAACGAACCGUUCGUCGCUUUUGCAUGCUUGAACAGAGACAUGACAGCCUGUUUUGCCUUGGUUUUAUGUGUUUUUGCUUGUAAAAAUACAUGUUCGAACAGGUUGAUAGUACGACCGCUCACUGCGCUGGGUUAAAAAGCCCUAAAAUGGCUCCGUUUUCGCGUGCCGCGGGCUGUUUUCUGCAGCCCGCUGCACCUCGCGAAAUGUCAAUCAUCUCAGCACCCUAGAACCCCCCCAGUGGCACAGGGUUGGAUGGGGCUUCGGUAUCUUGUCGGGUGUUGAAAAAUCUUCACAAGUUUGCACGUUGACUUGACGAAAACUUGCCUUCGCGCCCGGCACCCGGUGAGCAGUUGUUUGUGGACUUGCAACUAUUCGUUCUACCUUCUAAAGUCCUUAUUUUCCUCCUUUCUCUCUUUUAUCUAAUACACGUAAGGUGCUUGCUGAAUUGCUUGUAAAGCUUCCCUCUUCGCGAGACGUUGGGACUUGUCCGUCGCUCGUUCUUCGAACUAAUAAACUUUCUCUUUUACAGGUCCUUCGGGACCUGAGUGAGGUUGUAAACUGGCUGACCUUUGCGGAUGUAUAUCGCAAGGGCGCGUCAAGACUUAGGCAAUCCUAGUUAAGUCCGAGAAGUUGGCACAAGGGUGCUUCGUGACUUAGGCAACUCAAGCUAAGUUCGCGUCUUGGCCGCAAGGGUGCCUCACGACUUAGGAAAUUCCAGCUAAGUCCGUGACAGUGUGUCUUUCGAAGCUAUCUUAGAAAGUGGUGCUGCAUAUGGAGAGCCAUCAUCUAUUAGAAAGAGAGAACAUCAUCCAAGCGAAGCGUCAUGAAAUUGUUUCCCCACUUCAAUCUCCGAUUAAGAUGUCGAUUCCCUUCACCAAUCUAGAAAUAGGCUUGACUCUGAAUUGUUUGCCUUCAUGCGGUUCAAACUCUUUGUGAACUUUAAUUCGGGACUCUUUGCCUCUUAGUUUGCUAUGGUGUGUGUGGCUCUUGCAUCCACCAAUGCCUGAAUCAUCUUCUCAUUUAAUCUAAUGUCCAUCAACAUCAAUAGGAUGUCGUCUUUGUCUCUCUUAAUGUUGUUUUUGAUUGCUUUUCCACUUUGAGCUCACAUUGCAUUCAACAAAUUACAUUGACCCAAUGUAUGGUCGUUGUGGUGAUCCUUCGUCACUUCCCAAUUCUAACAAACUAGAGCCUGAAGAGUCACCUUUCUUCUUUGGCCUCCUCUCGGGCUUCUCCUGGACUUCACCUCUUAAUGCAUUCAACAAACACACAAUUCCCAUGUGAGGUCUUGGCGAUGAGACGUUGCUACUGAAACACAACCUGCCCAAACUAGAUGAUUUUGCCAAUGCUCUUCUUUGGCAAUGAAGAAGCCGUAAAGGUAGGACAAUAUUGAGUGCUUCUCUUUGUUGCGGCCAUUUGAUUGCUUUUCGUUGUUGGCAUUCCAUUGUUGGAUGCUGUCCACCGCACAAAUGACAUGUGCCAGACUUUAGGACUUUUGUAUCCAUGUUUCAUCAAAGCACUUUUCUUCUUAUUUGGAAGUUUUUGGAGAUCCCUUCUUUAGUAAGUACUUUUUCUUUGUCAUCUCUAUUAUAGAGAAAUCUGUGAGUCGUUCCGCCUUUGCGAGUACACCUAUUAGCUUAUGGACAUUUUAAUGAUGCAACUCCUGCUGAACCCACAAUUUUAAAUUGUCAAGGAAGUAGAAAAGUUUAUCUUUCUCAAACAUGUCUUGGAUGUUCAACAUCAAUGUAAAAAACUACUUUAGAUAAUCACGAAUUGUCUAGGUCUAGUGAAGUUGCCACAACUUUCACGGUGCGAUGAACCCUGUAUUCCCUAACAUGAAUCGAGUAUUCAAUUCCCUCUUCAAGGCUUCCCAAGUGUCAAUGUUAUAGCGAUCCUAUUUCCAGUGAUUGCAAAAGGCGCUCGGGUGAGGCGAGGCGAGGCCCGAGCGCCUCGCUAAUGUCCCAGGCGGCGCGCUUCAAACAGGCGUCGCCUGGGCGCUCGCCCGAGCCCAGGCGCUGGGCGCUUCGGGCGAGCGCCUGGGUAAACCAAGGCGACCAAACCAGAAUUUUAGGUCUGGUUCGGUCCUGGUUCGGUUGUUAGUUGGUUCAAUCGAACCAACUAAACCGAUAUAACCCCAACCCUAACCCUAACCCUNNNNNNNNNNNNNNNNNNNNNNNNNNNNNNNNNNNNNNNNNNNNNNNNNNNNNNNNNNNNNNCGCUGCUCGCGCCUCCCGCGAGCCCUCCCGUGAGCCUUCCCGCUGCUCGCGCCUCCCUCGAGCCCUCCUGCUGCUCACGCCUCCCGCGAGUCCCUCCCGCGAGCCCUCUCGCCUCCUGCGAGCCCUCCCGCGAGCCUUCCCGCUGCUCGCGCCUCCCUCGAGGCCUCCCGCUGCUCGCGCCUCCCUCGAGCCCUCUCGCCUCCUGCCGCCGCUGCCGCCGCUCGCUGCUGCUGCCGCCACCGCUGCUGCCGCCGCUGCUGUUGUCGCCACUGCCGCCGCUCGCCGUCGCUCGCCGCUGCUUCCUCGUUUCUCCAUCAGGCUCAGUAUACUCUUAAUAUUAAGUUUAUUUAAAUUUUGAAAUGAUUAAUUUUCUGUUAAUAGAUUAAUAAUAUAUUAUUUUGAUUUUAAUGUUGUUAAUUUUUAUUUAUUUGAAAUUAUUGUUAUAAUUAUAUUAUAUAUUUUUAUAAUUUAGAUAAUUUUAAAUAAUUAUAUUAUAUAUUUUUAUAAUUAUAUUAUAUAUUUUUAUAAUUUAGCGCCUCGCUUCGCUCGGGCGAGCGCCUGGGCGAGCGCCUAGCGCCUCGGGCGUUUGUGGACCUUGGCGUCUUUUGGCGCCUAGCGCUUUUUAAAUCACUGCCUAUUUCAUAUCCUCCCAGCAUGUGUGCCACCACAGUUUUGCAUCAUCGAUGAGAUAUAUAAUUGCCGGCGACACCUUGGAAUCUUUAGAUUCUGGUGAGGUCGCUUUGCAGUAUUAAUCUAUAUCAAAGAGACUUUUCUGACUUCUUGGCAUCCUGAGCACCAUUAUGGCUCUAUGGUUUGGGAGCCUUCAUUUGUGAUGAUAGAUGACUACGAGACAUUCCUUUUCACAUAUGCACACUUGCAUGAGUGUUAACACAUGUGAUGUCAAUUCCCUUACUCUUGUAAGUAUUGCACGGAUUCUCUCAUAUCAUUCAUUAUCUUUUCUACUUGGAUCUCCAACUGAUCUAGUCAGGAUUCUGACCCUUCUUGCUUGGACUCUAUCACCACAAAGCGUUCCCUGUUCCUGUAGAGCUUUGCUAACUUUCAAUUAACACAAUGUUGAGCCACAACUCCAGCUCAGCCACUCUUCAUUGCUUCUACCCGUUCAAGUUGCCCUUUGUGUUGUGCCUCUUCUGCAUGAGAGAACUCUUGCUCUGUGGGCAAAUCACUGCAAAUACCACUCCUCUUGAGCGUCUUUGCUAAUUUUUGCAUGAGUUUCUCAUUUGUUUUUAGGGAACGAUCACAUUGUUGUAGCUCCUAUUGUACAACCGUGCUACUUUUGCCAUGAUGUCUCACCAUGGCAAUUCAGUGUUUGUUUGACCCGCUCUAACUUUACUUUGUCAUCUUGUCACGUCCAUAGUUGGGGUUACCUAAGGCAUGCGACACCCAAGUGAUAUUCGUUCACAAGGGUCAACCUAGACAUUAAACUUGUGCAGUCCACAAAGGACCUACUCAUGCUUACGGGGAAGGUUAGAAAGACAAACGAAUGGGUAAUAUGUUGUCGUUGCAUACGGAAAAGGCAAGAUAAUCAAGAUCACAAGCAACACAAAGCUACCAACUUUUAUUAGGCACAAAAGGCUCUAAAAAAUGGGCUAAAUGAUUACACUCAAAAGGGUUCUUUGAGUUCAGAAGGCAGGCCCAAUAUUCACCUAGCACUAUCGUUUAACAAAAAAUGGACACACGAAAGAUGUUCCACCACUUGAUGCCAUCCAAGGUUCUAGGGUGUUGAGACAACAGAUGUUUUGCACCAAAAGACUGUCAACUAGAAAUCAACUCAUAGCACAUGAGAACAGACACACGAUAAUGGGCACACGAGAACAAAUUAUGAUGCCCUCUGUGCGAUGCCAUAAAGCCAGAAAUGUUUCCGAGUUUUACAUAGCAGAAACCAAAAAAAAGAACACUUCUGACAAAGCAAAAUGAGGUUGAUAGUACUUUCAAUCCUGGACAAUCUGCCUAGAAGAAAAUUCUCGGGAACACUGGAAAACAAUAGGAAACAAUGACUGCAAAGCAUCAUGGAUGCAUGUCCAUCGCUCCAUGACAGCGUAUAUGUUCAAACCAUGCUCUCCAUACAAAGAUCUAGGAUUUUAGUUUAUGAUUUUCUAUUUUUAUGCUCCAAUUUGUUUCUAGUGACUUGUAUGUUUUACAUGGUGCAGAUCAAGUGACUUCUGAAAAUAGUAUUCCACUCUCGCCCCAAUGGCUCUAUGCCAAGGCUAGUGACAGCAAGGUUGUAUUUCUAAUGUACCGGUAUUAGCUUUCUCUUUUGUUCCUACUUCUUGGUGGUUGUUUACUCUACUAUUCUUUCUAAGCAGGCAUUAUAGUUGGUUUCUUAUAUUAUUUGCUACUUCAGCCAUUUUAUUUAUCUGAUGAGGUUCUUUAUUUCAGUUUUUCAUUGAUAUUUUUUUUGGAGUUGAUGUAACUUAAGCUUAUUGUUUAUAUCACAAUUUCUACUCUAAGAUAUAUGACUAUCAAAAUGCCACAAAAUUUUCCACCUGUUAAUACAUGUUGCAAUUGAUUCUAGUUUUACAUUCUUUUUCUUACUUCUGAAUAUCGUAAAGGGUUCGCCAGAAUUUGACUCGGUAAACUUCCAAAAUUUAGUGGUUUCUUGAUCUGGUAUUUAUUAUUGUGUUUGUUCUUGUCGCUUGCAUUUCUCAGUUCAUUACAAUCAUCAAGAAUUAAAUUUUGGAUCUGUCAAGCUGAUAUUAAGGCAUAUUUAGGUGAUGUCACCAGUUGUGAUGCUCUUUGUAGAUUUAAUAUAAUAAAUUUUGAUUAUCCAUAAUUCCAUAUAGUUAUGUGGUUAGAUUUUAAUUACAUGUCAGACGAGAAGUCUAUUGUUUAAUUAACUGAGGAGAUCGAUGAUUGUCUUGAAUUUCAUAGGCAAAUGUGGAAGUUUAUGCUGAGAUAGGAAAUGCAUGGCAGUUAGUAUUUCAUCAAAUCUUUGUGUGGUAUUGAUGGGUUCUUAAAAUAUACAAUUUGGUAGAAGAUGUACUUUUAACAAUGCAUUUUAUGCCUCUAAUUUAUUUAAUUAUUACAAUUAUGAUGGUAAAGUGUGUAUUGAUUUUAUCUGAUUAGGCUCUCUUAGCUUUUUUAAUUGAGUAUCUGUAAUAAUAAGGAUUGUGGUGGCUUGGGUUAUGGUUCUACCAACUAGCCACAAGUAUUGUCUGCAAUGCUGUACUCGAAGUCUGUGCUAUUGGCACACUUAGCUUUAUGCAUGACAUGUAAAAAGCAUUCUGCUCAUCUGAUGCUUUAAUAUAUGCUAGCACUUUAAUCUUUAUGUCUGAUUAUGUGAUAAUUAUAACAGAAUCAACGAAGUCAUGCAGAGUUGGUUCUCAUUUUAAUAUGACACUCUAACUAGUUCCACAUUAAGGAUUGCUACUGAACUUGGUUGGUAUAUGAGAGUACUACUGUCAGCUUGAGCUUAAUUGUUUUGGGCCGCAUGGUAGGGCUAGGCUAUUAUGUCCAUCUGAUUGAGAUGUGACAAUUAUAAUUAAACUAACAACUAAUUUUAUAACUAUGUAGAGUAGUAGGUUUGUAGGAAAAUAUUGCUUGUAGAUUUUGCAAGGGGGAUGCCAAGUGUGGAUCUCUUACUUCAACUUUAUCCACCCUACAUGCCACCUGAUUGGAUGAUUUCAGGCUGCAUUGGGCCUUGAAUUGUCAAACCUAAAUGGGUGGGUGGGUGGGUGGGGGAUGGGAGAUUGUAAUUCCUUGUUUAGUCGGUUAGUCCCACAUUAGAAGUUGUGGAUGAGUUGGACCAUUAUAUAAGAACAGAUGAGCUUAUCUUGGUUGCUUGGAUUUAACCAUCUUUGGGCCAUGUUGCUAAGGCAAGUUUGCCCAAGUGAUUGUGCAAUUUGGUUUCUUGGGUUAGGUUGUGGUGAUUAAAGUGAUUGGUAAACUUAAUUGGAUCCCAUUCCUUUUCUGUGAAGUAGUUUUAUUUUUAUUUCUAACAUGUCAAUUCUUGAUACAUUCAACUGAGACUUCAUAUUCCGUGGUGUAGAUUAAAUUUGUUUAAACAAGAUAUAAUUUUAUUAGAAUUUUUUAAGUUAGGGUUUAAAAAUCAUUCAUCACAUUGGUAAUUUGGUAGAUUAUUGAAUUUGAUUUAAUGUGCUAUUUCAUGUGAAACAUGGAAGAUACUGCUGCUAUGUUGAAUGUUCAGCUUUUGCAUUUUCUGAGACAACUUCGUAAUUCUGUCAAAAGAACGUAUGGACGACAUUCUUUUCGUCAUUCUAUUUUUUGGAUGAGUAGACAAGCUAUGGAACUUGUGGACCGGGAACAAGCUGCAUUUGGCUAAAGUUAACUCUAGAAUAUAUGAAAGGCCACAAAAUUAGAAAGUGAACUUGUUGGCUAAUUACUACUUUUAGCUAACUAAUUAACCUGAAAAAUGUGUAAAUUAUGAAAUAGUUUGAAGUUAAGCAUCUAUUUGUGUCUGUUCAUCCAUAAUGAACAUAUUCCUUGUGUGUAUGCAGUUAAAUUUAUGGUCAUUAUUACAUAUUUUUAAGGAACAAUUUAAGUGUUUUUGAUAUUCCAGUAAACAUGCAAGUUAAAUCUAGCUUACUACUAAAAAUAUUUUGAAGUGCUUGUAGCAUGUAUAUUUGUUCAUCCAUGAUGAACAUAUUUCUUGUGGGUAUGCAGUUAAAUUUAUGGUCAUUAUUACAUUUUUAAGGAAUAAAUUAAAUGUUUUUAAUUUUCCAGUCAACAUGCAAGAUAAAUCUAGCUUACUAAUAAAACAGACCAUUUAUUUUAUCAUUUUAGGCAGAGAUCAAAAGUCUAGAAAGGUUCCAUUUUUGCAAUUAUGCACGUUGGACUCCCAGUUGUGUUUAAUCAUGUGGUUUGUCUGUUCAAACAUCUCCACUUACAUCUUCUAAAGGCUUGUACAAGUUGGUCAUGCAGCAUUUUAGAGAGAGGUGCAAAUUCAAGGUGAUAUUUGUGUUUUUAUUUCUGGUGAUAUGUUGCUUUCUCGUCCUUCUCUCGAUUUCCCUGAGGAAAUUUUUUGCGGACUGGACUGUUGCCUUUUUGCAUUGUUUGUUUGUUAGCUUUGGUGCAUUUAUGUUUUGUUAAUGCUGGUAUAACACUUCUUGGAGCUUCUGCAAUUAUCAAAUUGUUAUUUUUGUCAUUUAGUGAGCAAGUAUGUAUUACCAUCAGUGUGAUGUUUGUUUGUGCUUAGCUUUUGGAGUUUUCUUUGCUUGAUAUUGUUUGGUACAUGUGCAUAACUUCAAAUGUUGUCUUUGGUUCCUUUUUGUAGUUUGUCCUAGUUUAGUUACUAGUAUUACUUCCUUCCACAAGUGCACCAGAAAUGUACCUAGUCACUGUGAUAUUGAUGCCUUUAAAUUGGGAAAUUGGUUAUCUGCUUGUACUUCUUGAAUUCACAAUGGUGGCUUGAUGUUAUCAUAAGAAAUGAUCUCACCUUCAGGUCAUAUGUGUUGAUUGGAUGGUUUAUGGUGAAUUGGAUUGUCAUAUGUCAUAGAAACAUUCAUCUGGAGCUGUCAAUAUUUGUUAGAGUCCCAUUGGAAAUUUUGUCUAUCAUGAUACCUCUUUAAAAGACUUCUUUAGUGAAAUGAUGUGAGGGUUAUCCUCAGGUUCUAAUGGAUCACUGAAAGUUUUAUCCCCUCUUCUAUUUCAGACUCCAUAGCACACUAAAAUAGUUAUUCUAUCUGAAAUACCGUCAUAUUAUACUACUGUAUCAGAUUCAUCAUUCCCAUUCUUUAGAUUGCUAUUUUAAUGUUGUCAUGACAAUUUAAAUAUUCUUUUGUAUAGUUACAUGUAUUAGAAAAAUGACAUCAAACUGUUCGUAGUUGCUUUUGGUUUGGACCUCACCUGAAAGUUUCCUCGAAAAGUUAUCUUUCGAGACAUUUGAGUUGAUUAGUGCCUUGUUGCACAAGUUCAGAUUUGGGUCCAUGUGUGAGCAUCAUCUGCGCCAUUUGAUAUAAUGGAAAAUUUUCAAAUUUUUUUGAAAAAAAAACCAGUCUCGCUAAAGGAAAAUUAUUACUUGUUUACCUUGGUUGAUUUUGCUGUGAAAAGUUUUCAGUGCUACCUUUUGUCACUUGGUUUCUUGUGUCUUGGAUUCUAUUUGUUAUGAGAGGGUACUUUUUGGGACUUAUGCAUCAGCCAUUCAGUAAAUGUUGCUUUUAAUACUUGAGUGUUGGUGAGUUGGUGGGCACUGCUGCAUUUCUAUGCAUUGAUUCUUAACAUCUACUCUUUGUAUGUUCCAAUUAUAUUCAGUGAUUCUUACAUCUACUCUUUGUAUGUUCAAGUUGGUGAUUCAGUGUUUGAGAAUGUUUAGUUGGUUUGACACCAAGAGCCUUCUUUUUUAUUUAACUUAAUACCUUUCAAAAUGACUUAUUGUUGCAUCAUGGAGACUUAGUUUCAUUCCCUCUGAUGGUUAGUUUUCCCAUGGGAAUGUGCACUGUGCAGUUUGAACCAUUAAACUGUCUUUGAAACUUCCAUUUAUGUUAAUGGUUCGACAUUUUGGUUUGUGAAUUAUGGAUGGUUAAGUUGUUUGCUCCCGUUUUUUCUCAUAUCAACCAAAUUAAGCAUUAACCCAUAUUAUGUAUAUGUCCAAACCUCUUCCUCCACUGUACCUCUUCCUUCCUCUUCUCCUUUUUCUCUCUUAAAGAGUAUGGUACAUACUGGUAUAUGAGUACACUGGUACCGGUCCCUGUUCGAGAUUGCAAACCUUGUAUAUGUCUAUAUAUAUGUGUAUGAUAUUCUUUAACUAAAACCCUAAGGUGAGCCAGCCUAGAGUCCCAAUUUCUCACUCCUAAAGUAUGUCAUUUUUUUUUAUUAUCUUUUAAGGAGUUCGUGUUGCAAUUAUUUUGUUUAAUGAAUAUCAUAUGCUACAAACAUCCUUGUAUUACUUUUCAUGCUAUAAUGUAAUAGUUUGAAUACUUGAAUUACAAUGAUAUUUCCUAAUAACUAGAAACUGUAUUAAAAACCAGACAGAACUGUGUUAUUUCUUCUUGGUUUGAGAAAUUCUCAAACUGAUAUUUAUUAAUUUGAUUCAUUCUCAUUUACACUCUAACCAAAUUGGAUGUGCACAGCCUUAGUGAUUAUCUCAGCCUUUGGUCAACAUAAUUAUAAGGUAAUUCCAUCAGUUACCUUGCUUUUAACAAACUGCAGUAUGCAACCUGGUCCAUCAUACUAAACAUCUGUUGUCUUUGUUUUAUUUGUACAUCACUCUCUAUCUUUUCUGUUGCUGCCUCGAUAAGUAUAUCUGAUGCAUGUGUUUGAACCUGAAAGGAUUUGUUGGAUACUUUGGUUCUUUGGAGAAUGAUGUGAGAUAUUAGUUUUGUUUGGUUUGAUAAUGGAUAUAAGAUACUUCUCUAGACAAUUUUACUUUGUUGUGGUUUACCAUUUUUUGAUUAUAACACUUUUCAUGCGAAAUCUAAGUAAUUUUGGGAAACUAUCACUCAUGAAAAAUGAUAGCAUUAAAUAUGAUUUUGUUUAUAAUAUUUCUAGAUUUUGUAAUAUUUUCUUAGGCAUUCUGACCUCCAUGUUAUUCGUGUUAGGAUACCCGCCCACCAAAUUCAGCAUCUUCUGGAACCUUGCCUGAUAUUAUUCAGAAAGAUAUGUGGCGUCUGGAUGGAUCCCAGGAUAAGAAAGAAUGGAUAAGAAAUGCAAGUGAUGUAGAUUUUAGCCGCCGUUGGCGUGAAGAGGAGAGAGAAACUAGCUUGCUUGGUAGGAAAGAACGUAAAAAGGAAGGAGAUCGAGAAACCGAGUACCGAAAAAGUGACCGCCGUCCUGACAAUAUCCUGUUGAGAGAAUCUGCUGAUUCUAGGAGUUCACCUUCAUCUGACAAGUUUUAUGAAGUUCCUAAUCGUGGUACAGGGAAUGAAAAUCGCCGUGACAGCAAGUGGUCAUCUAGGUGGGGUCCCGAGGACAAAGAGAAUGAAAUGCGGACAGAAAAGAAAGUGGAUGCAGAAAAAGAAGAUUCUCACGUUGAGAAACAGUUUUUUAUUGCCAGCUUCCGCCCCUUAUCUGGAUCUGAUUCUCGUGAUAAGUGGAGGCCACGCCAUCGUCAGGAUGUUUAUUCCGGUGGGUCAUCAGUGAUUCGUGCUGCUCCUGGAUUUGGGUUGGAAAGAGUUUCCACGGAGGAUUCAAAUAUGGGUUUUGCUCGUGGUAGGGGUAGAUCAGACUCUGUUACAGGAUUGCAAUUUGGCAGGUCAUCUGCUGCUGGCCCUAUUGGUGCAACUCCAGUAAAUAAAGCGGAGUUCCGGUAUCCCAGGGGUAAACUACUAGAUAUUUAUAGGAAGCAGAAGAUGACAGUCAUUGAUGCUACUCCUGUGAGAUUUGUAGAAGUUCCUCCGAUAACAGAAUCUAGCUUUGUGACUCCUUUGGCCUUUGUCAUACCUGAUGCUGAGGAAGAGGUAAUCUAUAUUUGUAUUCCCCAUAUCUUAGUUCUACCUCAGUAUGUUCCUUCUGGCAUUUGCAGCUAAGGAUAAUCUCUCUGUAUCUUGCAUAUAGAUGAUAUAGUUUGAAGAUUGAUUUUGCUACUCUCAUGAUAUUACUUAUUGUUUAUCUGUUUUGUAUUACUAUGGAAUUGUUUGCUCUUGGAAAUGGAAUUUGAAUCAUUUUUGCAUAUGGAAUUGAUCUUGGUACACAUGUAUAACUAGGAAAAGCUUGUCACUUUGGAAUUGCCUGUUUCUACAUGGUCUGAUCAAUAAUGAAAAGACACAUUAUGAUGUGAUAUGCAUGUGAACUAUGAUUCCAGUGGCAAAAUAUUCAUCCAGUAUAUACGAUUUUUACUGAGUGUAGUGCCAAGUAACAUUGUGAAACAUCUGAAGCAUGGAGUAUGCUUGCAAUACUGGGUCCUGCACAGGCAAAAAUUUGGUUGGAAGGUGUAUUUAUUAAGAGUUACAUUUAUGUUUGUUAUUCCUGCUGUUAUUUCUCUGGAUUUUCUUGCCAAAUUACUUCUUUUUUUUGUUGAGGAUGAUCUUUACAAUGAACACAUUAAUUUAAUAAAGUUGGUUGCGUGGUGUGAAGGUUCUUCUGAAAGAUAUUUGGAAGGGGAAAGUCAUGAGCAGUGAAGCAAGUUCAAGUUGGGAAAGGAUGGCAAGGGAUAAUAAAAUUGGGAUAGGUAUGCAACAUGUCAUCAUAUUCAUAUGGUAUAGUUUGAUUAUUGAACCUUGUAUAUAUUUAUUUAGGUGAUGGAGACAAAACCCUGAUUGAGAAGAAACAUGCUAGAAGGGGACCUUUUACAAAUUCUGAAGGUCAUAAUAAUGCAUGUCUUUCCAUGUCAUUUUUGAAGCUUUGCGUUGACUUUUUAGAUAUUACUAAAAGUUGGACUGAUUUUUCAUUUCAGAGUUGAAUUCUGACCAUGAAGAACGAAAGGCUGUCAACACUAUGAUUAAUUUGGUGGGUUUUAAUGGUUUGACUAUAAAAAUUGCAGAUCAUGAGGUUUUUCAUGAUAAACCAGUUUCAGUCAGCAAUAUUACUAAUUCCCAGAUAAAUGAUGGUCAGAUUGAAGUAGUAAAUGUUGAUGAUGAAUCAAGUCAUGUGGAUAUUCUAAAAGAUAUCAAGUUAGAAGGACAGGAUUUAACUGUCUCUGAUUUUAAUGCUAAGCUACCCGAUGAGUCAUACCCUUUAUUUGAUUCAUCUUUUGUUGAAGCGAUUCCAAGAAUCAACAAACUUAAAAGCAGCAAAGCUGAGAUGAAUCUUUCAGAACAGGGCACUCCUGAGGAGUUGAGUUUAUUUUACAUGGAUCCCCAAGGAGACAUACAGGGCCCAUUUCUCGGUGCUGAUAUCAUCUCAUGGUUUGAACAAGGUUUCUUUGGUACAGAUUUACCUGUGUGCUUAUCAGAUGCUCCUGAUGGCACACCUUUUCAGCCACUUGGUGAAGUAAUGCCUCACUUGAAACUGGAGUUCCAUUCUGGCCCUGAUAUCUGUUCUGGCGAAAAGUCCGAACCUUUGGAUGCUACAAGGAGUGACCUGGAGUCUUGUAUCCCUUCUUCCCAUGAUACUGGUGGUUCUUCCACCACAAACAAUCAAAGAAGGGCGCUAUCAUGGUAUUCUCUGGAUCAUCAUGGAAAACAUGAUGUUCCUGAAAAUGAAGCUUUCACAGAUCCCAACAGAAACAGUUUAUCUUUCCCUAGCUCAGGGACCCCACCAGGUGCAACUGGUGGACACAUCUUUCAUGAUCUUACUGGGCGAGAUGCAGAAGGUUUGUAUACUUAAAGCAGUUUGCCUUGUUUUUUUUUUCACUUUUAUACAAAGAUUCAUGAUAGCUGAAUAAAACUUUGUUUUCUACAGUUGUAUUGUACAAAGGUAGGUCCAUGAGUGACAUGGGGAAACAAUCAGGAAAAUUUGCUAAUGACCACAUUGCUCUAUCAAGGUCCCCUAAUAAUCAUCACUAUAUGGUGCCAGAGGCUGGAAAUACUAGUUUUGCCAGUGAGCACAUUCCAAGAGAGAAUAAUUUGGAUCCUUUUGGAUUAUUGUGGUCUGAGCUAGAAGGAACUCAACAGAAGCUUCCCCUUUCAUCAAAUAUUGCAGGGUCUGCUGAGAAUUUGAUUGGCAACUGUGAUUCUUCAAGAAAUUCCUUUCCAUUUGGCCUCAAUCAGACGCAGUUCAAUUUGAUCAGUGACUUCCCUAUUGCCAACAAUUCAUUGUCCAAAAACUAUAGAAGGAGCAAUAGUUUAAAUAUAAUUCCUGAUAUGUUUGAUGCAAAUAACAUGUCACAGAUUGAAGCUGAGUCAAGCCACUUUGGCUUAGAACAGCGCCUACUCUUCCAACAAUUACAGAUGAAAGAACUUCAGCAGCAAUGUUUACUGGCCCAUCAAAAUGCUGAGUUCAGUGGUACACUUUUGGACCAGGUGCAUGGACCUAUGCACCAACAUCACCAUGUUCAUCAACAACCUGUGGAGGAUCUAGAGCGUAUGUUGAAAUUUCAGUUUGAGCAGCUGCGACAUCUUGAUAUGUUGCAGCAGCAACAUCAACUGCAUCAGCAACAGACACAACUGCAUGAGCAUCAGAUUCAAUUGUUACAACAUCGUCUUCAUCAUGAACCGCAACCACAACAAUCCCAGCAGCAGAUGUAUCUUGAACGUCUGCUGCAUCGGCAAUUACUUGAAGCUGGUUUUGGAACAUCCAACAUUGAUCCUCAUGGGAUAAACAUGUUUGAUCAGGUUCGCUUUAGACAGCAGCUCUUGAAAGAGUCACAACAGUCUCACAACCUUUCACUGCAUCAUGACUCAGCUAUAGAUCAACAUAUCCAAGCAAACUUAGGGCUGAAUAUUCAACGGCAGAGUCAUAGUGGUUUAUUGGAUAUUCUAUCCCAUUCCAGUCAGAGGCAGGUGCCUCCUAUAGAACAACAAUUUCUUUUAGGGCUUCAGCUGGACAAGCUUCAGGCACAACUGUCGUCCCCUGCUUCUACCAAGCUGUCUGCAAUGGAAGAAGAGAGACACAUAGGGGGGGUUUGGUCAGUUGGUGAAUCUGGUCAGUUUAUCAGGACUGCACUUGGUCCACACCAGGAUUUUUCUGCCAGAUCUAGCCAAUCAGAGUUUAUGCAGGCAGCAAAGGGACCAUUGUUUGAGCAGCGCAGUCAUGUUCAACCAAACAUUUUGUUUCAUGAGAGAAUGCAACGAGGGCCUUAUGAACAAGGGUCACAUCCUAUUGACAGGCUACAUAUGCAUGCAGGUACUCCUGGUCCGAACUUGGAACUCAUUAAUGCCUUAGCACGAGUACAAGGACUGGAUGCACAUGAGCAUCUUAAUCAUCUGCAUACUUCUGGUGAGGUAGGACAGCUUCCUUCUAGUGUACACUCUCAUCAGAAUCAGAUUGCUAAUGAUUUAACUGGUGCAAGCAUGGAUGUGAGUGAGAGGCACUGGUUUGAACCAAAUAGGCAGCUCUCAGCUGAUUUAAUGGAAUCCCAUUUGAAGCACUUGCCAAUAGAAGCAGAAAAGAAGAGGGGCAUUAGCAUAAAUCACUCUGUUAAGGACCCAAAUGUAUGGGCAUCAUUUGUAGGAAAUGAUGGAAGUUCAGGACAUGAAUUGAGAGACUUGCUCCAUCAAGAAAUGCUUCUCCAAUCUCAACAGCCACUAGGAGUAUAUAGCACUCCAUCUUCCAAUGAGCAUGGGGACUCUUCUUGGCUCUAUUCUCAGCAUGGUCCAGAGCAUUCCUUUAAUCUUGACAUGGAUAGAGUGGGACUUAGUGGUUCUAUGUCUGAGGGUUCUCUUUUUUCUGAAGUAAGACAGCCACGAAACGAGCAACUGAUCAACAAAAAUCUGGAAGGUAGUGCUAAUGACAUUGAGAGCAGUAGAAGGCCCAGUUUGAGAUCUGGUUCUGCAACAUUAAUUGAACAGAAACAUUUUCUUUCAGAUACGGAUUAUAUUGAAAGAGAGAAAUUUGUGACUUCUUUGGGUGAUGCUUCCUUGCAAUCAUUUGAUUUCUACAAUUUAAAGGAGGUGGAAAAUAGGAAGAUGCAGGGUCUAAAGGGCAGUUCCAGGACUCAAUCAGCAUUGAACAUGCAGGACAGUGGGGUUAUGCAAGCAAUAGGUGGAGGUCAUGAGGAGGUUAAUGUUGACAAACUUUUUAGGCAUGAUUUAUCUAGCAAGGCUGGUAAUGUGAUCUGGCAAUGUUUUUAUUCUUGAGUAAACUGCUUGUCCCCUUUGGCAAUUUAUGUAACUAUGAACUUGAUGUAUUAUGCAGCCAGAGGUUUGAGCUUCUACAAUUAUGAAACAGGGACUGAUAACGCUCAUAUUGAAGGGAUGGGUAAUAACAUGUAAGGAUAUUCUUUCUGCUUUUGUGAAAAGAAUAAGAAUCAGAUGAAAUCUUUUUUCGUGCUUUGAAAUCAUGAUAUCUUGAUACUGUUCUUUUUCACUAUCUUAUUGGGUACUUUUUGUUUGCUUUUCUUCUUGAUAAUAAUCCAACAUCAUUUGGAUAAUGAAUGGUUUGUGCAUGGUUUUUGUGCUGCAUGAAUUUACUUGAAUUUAAUUCAUACACCAUUUUUUUAUCUUUUCUAGUAACCUAUACUAUAUUUAUGUGUAUCUUCAUAUGCAUGCACACAUGGACUAUUGUUCUUACCAGUGUUGAUCAUUGCGAAGGAUGAAGCUACGACAUUUAGGUCACUAGUUCAGGAGAAUUUAAGUCAUACACCUAUACUAUAUUUAUGUGCAUCUUCAUAGGCAUGCACACAUGGACUAUUGUUCUUACCAAGGUUUUUAAUUUCGUACUGUACUGGUGUCUCGAGCUUUGUUCGGUACGGUACAGUAUGGCGUACUGAGCGAUACACCUUUUAAGAAGAAACCAUCUCGCAUUUUGAGAUGGUUUCGAGAGACGGAAAGGGAUUUCGAGAGAUGAAAAGAGAAUGCGAGAAGGUUUUGAGAGAUGGAAAGGGGGUGAUGGCAGAGUGGGUGAGGAUGCGGCGGGUCGCCUCCGUCCCCAGCUCGAACUUAUCCCUCGUGAGGCACUCCGCAAUGCUCUCACCACAGUCGGAUCUGGUGGGGAUCUAGCUCAGGGAAAGCUCAUCUGCUGCUGCCCUCAGCAACCGAGGAAGAAGACCAAGAUGACGACGGGAGCGAGAAGGGGAAGCAACACUCCAACCUAGGCUAGUACCCCUUCCUUCGUCGUCGAUCGUGACCUCCCUGACCACAACAGCCACGAUCCCUCCAUCCCCUACUGCUCUCGACGGAGCGAGGACUUGCCCCCUACUGCGUUCCGCCCGAUGGAGCGCUUCUUCAUGUCUCGCCACGUCCAACACCCUUCUCCAUCAUGCCUUCUUUGUCCAACGAGCGCCACAGCCUCAUCUUCCUCAUCGUCGUGCUCGUCCUUCUGUCCGCUACUGGGUGGUUCGUGUGUGGGUCAGCUGGUAGAUUGGUAUGUACCGCCCGUGUCAGAUGGUAUGGUACGGUAUUCAAAUCCGUGGUUACUAGUGUUGAUCAUUGCGAAGGAUGAAGCUAUGGCAUUGAGGUCACUAGUUCGGGAGGAUCCUUUAGUUCUUUAACAAGAAUGUCUUUACUAACUAUCAACUCUUUUGUUUAUAUUCACAUUUUUGAUCAACUUUCUUCGGGAACUUUGUUGCCACUUUGAAGUCCCGAAACAAAUUUGGGAUGGGUUGGAUUCAGGUCCACUACCAUUUAUAGGAUUCUAGUUCAUCUCUCUAUUUGUUUGUGUAUGGGGAGCUGAGCUUGAACAAGCAAAAAGCUAUUUGAACUUGUCUCAGUUGAAAAGAAAGACAUGGGAUUUGAUCAAGAUUGAAGUCGUCCAAAUUCCAAGGUGGUCACUGGUGGUAACCCCUUGAAUGUAGGUUGAAGGUCUCGGCACAGAGGUGGGUGCUUAAGAAAAAUUAUUAUAAAAUAAUAUUAAUGCAUAUAUGCAUCUUAAAAUAUACAAAUAUUUUUAAUGUAAGUCCUUUGAAAGCGUUUAUGUUAGACAGACCUCCCUGCAUUAAAUUUUCAGUGGAGAUCACAUAGGACAGUAAUUAAGAUCUGUUGUUUCAUAUUGGACAUUUUAUCAUAAUCCUAAGACAGGUUUUGACUGACGAUUAUAUUAGAAUUACCCACAUAAAUAAAAACAGAAGAAAAAGAGCAUAUUAAAACAAUUAAGAUCCAGUGACAUGCAUCAUGUAUGGAAACAUAAGCAUAAUACUGAGGAUGUAGUGAAUCAAUAUUCAUUGUGAUUAUUAAUUUUUGCUUUUAGUUUGACCAGCUACCUUUAUUUCUCUUUCUUUGUACCUUCUCUCUAUAUUCCUUCUUAGUUUUCUCUUCUAUUCCUUGUUUGUUAGUAGAAAGUUCUUUCCUUCUUGCUAUUACUAUCAUUAUUGCCCUCCACAAUUUGAUUUCCUCCUAACUAUAGGCAUCCUCUUCCUCUUUCCUCGGUAUGGUAAUGUAUACUUGUUGAUUGCUAUUGCUUUUAAGCCUAGAAUGCCUUUGAAAUACUAUCAUUUGUUGCAUUUUGAAAAGAAGAUGCCAUGCAAUUUGAAACUGAAGCAGUAAAUAAAAAGGAUGUCUGAAGAGUUCAUGAUAUGAAGAUGUAUUCUUGAAUUGGAGGAUCUUGAGAAAGGCCUCAGGAUGAGAAACCAUGUUCAAUUUACCUGGAAAGCACUCUCACGCCUUUGAAUCAUUUUUAUAUUCAUUUGAAUGUCUUUAUGAAUGAGAUGGUAGGCUAAAGCAUGUGAUUGCAUAAUUUCAUUGUUUAAAAAAGGGGUGUAGAACUCACGUGGACUAAGGUAGCUUGGAAGCCUUUUAGAUUUGCACAUUAGAUCAGUUGAGAUUGGAUGACCUCUUAAUUUCUAACCAAUUUCCUAAUCAAUGACUAGCUGAUUUGUUUAAGCACAUGCUAAAAUAUUGUGAGGAUUAAAGUGUAGUUAGUUUAUCUAUGGGCUUUAUUAUCAUUAUCCCGUCACCAUAUAACUUUCAAAUUCAUUCAGUUCUAUUCACUUCACACCUUCUGCCGAUGCCUUAAUUUUUGAGGAUAUCAAAUUAUCAAUAGGAUACUAACAAGAAGUUAUUUGUGAAUCUCAGUAUCAAUAAGCUAAAGGCUUCUUUUCCGAUUUUCUGUAGUCCUACUCAAAACAAUUUCUAUUUCCUUCAUUUUCCUUGUAAUAGCAGCCUUGCUGUUGCUUCAUCAAAGUCGGCAGAUGCAGCAACUGUUGCUAUGUGGUUCGGCCACUGGUGUUGUUGCAGUUGUAAAAACCUAUUUACGUUGGUGACAGUUGUUGCUACUAUUGCAAUAAUAACGUUGGCUGCUGUGACUAGAUGCCCAUGAUUGUGCGGCUGCCAGCUAGGUGAUCACCUUCUGCAGUUGAUAGUAUCUAGACUUGCUGCCUGAUGCCUAAUAUAUAUUAGAAAUAUUACGUGAUUUUUUGACAUGUUACAUUAGGAAUUAUCAUCUAUUCUCUCCAUUUUCUUUGUUCUAGGCAGUGCUAGCAGGUAUCAUGUUUCAGUAUAUGAUCCAUGUCAGUCUGUUUGCGAACCGGUAUUGGCACCAGACCAAGAUUUUACAUCUUGGUUUUGAUGUACCAUUACAAUUUGCCAAAAAUUUAUGAUAUGAAAUGACCUACGAAAUAAAUGGAUUAGGAAAGAACAGUGAUAGAAGAGACUUCAUGAGAAAACAUACUCAAGAGGCAGGUUAUUGAGGACCAACUAAUGUUUCACAAAUGCAAUGUAGGACUAGGAGAAAAUAUCGGCAAGCUAUCGAGGGUAACUCAUUCUUUUGGAUAUAAUGAUCCAUUGGUCACUUGGAUUGUGGUGAUUCUGGUGAAUGAGAAGAUGAGAAACUGUUACAUGAUAGAGAAAUCCCUUGGCUAGAGGUGAAUCUUACUGCCUUUUAGACAUGUGCGAUGACAACAACGUCAAAGCAACAAGCUCUAACUAUUUGGGAUCAGUGUUUUCAAAGGAUGCUUCGGCGCUCGCUUAGGUGCUCGGGCGAGGCGAAGCCUGAACACCUUGCAGAAACCGUAGGCGCAAUGCUUCAACUAAGCGCUACUCGGACACUUGCUCGAGCCUAGGUGCCAGGUGCGGGCGAGCACCUGAGCCAAAUUUGGUUGGGUUCAAACUUUGGUUUGAUUGGACUUAUAAGUUAGUUCAAUCAAACCAACUAACAUAGUUACUCUAACACCGUCCAACCCCCUCCCUUGCCCGACCCAAUAAAAGAAAACAAAGGUGAAAUGAAACCCGCCAUCGUUGGCAACCUCGUCCAAUCACAUUUGCUGGUACAACUUGACUAUUGUCGUUGUAGCUCGUCCGCCACUGCAGUUUGUCUAAACCCUAAACCUCGUCCGCCCUAUACCUUUGUCUGAUGUUGUAGUAGCUUUGUCCGCAAUCGACGGUCACCUCUUCCAUCUCAUUUGUUUGCUGCCUUCGCACACUACGAUCGUCAACAAUGUCAUCUGUUGCCUUCGUCCGCCACUGCAGCUUCGUUCGUUUGUAGCUGCAGUUUCAUUUGCCACCCUCUGCUUCCCCCACCUUCCUGUUAAUUAAAUUGCAAACGGAUGAGCAGCAACUCGUUUGGUGCAGUUUAAAUAUAUUUGUUGUAUCUACAACACCAUGGGCAAUAUGCACGUUGAUUUAUACAUGAAACUGCCUUAGCUUUUACUUGAUGACGUCUUAGCGCAGCAAAACAUUCUUGGUUAGCAAGAUGUUUUUGGUCUAACAUAGGCCUCCAUAAACCUGUUUAGUAUAUUUCUAUUUAGUUGCAUAUUAUUUUAAUUAUACUAUUUGGGAGUGCCUCAAGCGUUUUGGGACUAGGCGCUUUUAAAAAUAUUGAUUGAGAUAUAUAAAAACUCUAAGUCAAGUUAAGAGUAUUUAAAUCUUUAUUUAUAGUUUCUAUUUAAUAUUUUUUUGGUCUUCCUCAACCUCUCAUCAUACUACUAACAGUAAUAAUUUCGCCUCUUAUCAUUACCACCUCCGUCGGUCUCUGAGCACAUGUUUGCACCAUCUUCAACAUCCUUAUUUCAGUAAUAUAAAUCAUUUGUAUGUUGUUUCUUAAUUAUCUAACACUUAGAUCAAUAAAGUAUUGCUGGUCUAACAACUGCUUUAUAAAUUUUUUUUUUUAAUCUGAAAGGUACUUGGUGAUCACAUAAGAUUCUUGAUGCCUUUCAUCAAUAUAACCAUCCCGUUUUAUAUAUGAAUAAUAGUUUCAUCAAUCUCUCAAUUUUGUUGAAUAAUUGACUCAUCCUUAUUGGAUAUGUGCUGUCAUAAAAUCACUAGGCUACUUAUUCUGGGUGGAUUAUUGAAAGUUCCAUAGUAUGGGUGGAAAUAGGUGAAGGAUUGAUGAGACUAAGGAGAUGUGGAGAGCAUUGAUCAUGACAUAGCUUAUUUCUAAAAUAUAUAAUGAUGAUGGAUUAGACCAUUUUUCAUUCUUGUUCUAUUGAACAUAUAUUGCUGUUCUGGAAGUUAUUUGUUUUGUAAAUUUUCUUAUUUUUCUUGUUGUGUUUAGGCUGAAAUGCCAGUUUGAUGAUCUGAUUAGACUAAGUUGAUCCCAUUCUCAAAGCUUAAGUACGAUUCCAAAUCAUUCCUGAGUUUCAAGCAUUGCUUGUUCCCGAGUAUGGAUUUUGGUGAGAAAUCACAUAGGGAAAUAUUCUUCUUUUACUAGGUUGGAAUCCUUGAAUGUCAUAUUUUCACUGUUUCUCUUUCACAAAUAUGUUUAUGCUCCUUUUGUUUUGCAGGAUUUCUGGUGAUAUCUCGAAAGGAGAUGACAAUUCAUUCUUAGCAGAUACUUGUGAUCCUCAUUCUACCUCAUCUAUAGCAGGAUCUGACCUGGCCUCAAAGAAAUCUGCAAAGGCAAAGAAUCCUACUAAUGGAUCUUCUGAGGGUAUACUCAAUUUCUUUUAACCUUUUCCAGUUCUAUACUUGAUCAUAGUACCUCUGAAGAUUGUCCUUUUGUGUUGUAAAUUGAUUGAAUUUUAAAUGUCUUCAAUAAAAAUGAGGUGCAGGAGGAUGUCUCAACUUUGGAGGUAAUUCUACAUCCCAUGUCUCAGAGACAUCGAUGUCUAACAAGAAAGACUUGAGAUUUCGUCGAACCUCUUCGAGCAGCGAUGCAGAUGUUGCAGAACCUUCAUUCAGUGAUAUGCUGAAGAGUACCAAAAAGACCAUGCCUGAUCCCGAGUCUCUAGAAGUUGUCUCAUCUGGUAAGAGUGCCAAAAAGAAAGGAAAGAAGGGCCGACAGAUUGAUCCGUCACUUCUUGGUUUCAAAGUCCAUAGCAACCGCAUAUUGAUGGGUGAGAUCCAGCGGCCAGAUGAUUGAGUAUUGCGCGUCUUCCGUAAUCACUGUCUAAUUGUUCCAUUGCAAGGCUGUACAGGUCCUCGUACAGUUUUUUUAAAUAUUUUAGAUAGUUCUUUUUUUUUUUCACAACAGAUCAGUUGUAAAGCGGGGUUCAUAUAGAUGAAGACUCACACUGUACGUGGGGAUGGAACAAGCGUGCAGAUUUUGUAUAGACCAACAAAAUCAAUGCAAAUAGUUUCAUGAAUGCAGCUUCUUUUUUCACCUUUUAGCCAUGGUAUUUCGCUGGGUUCUGCUUGCAUGUCAACUGACCUUUAUUCCUGUAAGAAAUUAAUUGUAGCUCUCUUCUUAACAGGAAGAUACUUUCAAUUAAGUCUGAUCUUCUUAACAUGCAGUCCACAUAUGAUCUGUUGCAUAGAUGAUUCAAUUCUUGGCUUUCUUCUACUUCAACCAUUGCUAGCCUUGGUUUUCAUGUCUGCUGCCUUUUUCAGGUGGGUAAUGAGAAGGUGCUGAAAGCUAAAAGCUAGUUGAAUACCACUACAGAUCCUGGUAAUUCUUGUCAGUUGGUAUACUUUUAUCAAUGUGUUUGGAGCCCAACCUGCAGAUCUGACGGAUAAAUCCAGCAAGAUGUUGACAGUUAAAAGAUAGUUUUGGUCUCUUGUGGGCGAGGAAAGCUCAAUAGGAGUUUGGAUGUCGAUCUAGCUAGUUUGUAAUGAAAAUAUAUUUAGAGUAGGUUUGUCAGUCAUUUUUUUCGACACCAGGGUCAGUCAUAAAAGAACUAGUUAAAAAGGCAAUGCUAUGUUUAUAUAACCAUGCCUAGUUGACAGAUUGUAUCAAGUCCCAAUUGAUUAACAGCAAUGAUCAUGCAUUUAUUCUCAAUUGUUGGGUUUGUCUGUUUCCAAUUUAUAGGACCUCGAUUAUUGUCGGGUGCGAAAUGACCACUUGUCGGAUGCGAGUUGGCCCAACCUUGGGAGAUCUGGGAGUGGCCUGAAAACCAGUGAGGCUGGUUUCAUGCUGAGAACCAGUGAGGCUGGCCAUGCGUGAGAAGCGUGCGUGCGGAGGCGAGCAUCUCUGGGUACACGAAGGAGCAAUGGGAAUAUGGGAAAAGCCCAGUCACGAGCGAGAAGCCCGCGCACCUUAAGAAGGUCUGGAGGAUUGAUUUGGUGCUUCUUCGCUUGCAAGGAGAAGCAUGCGCUCUCCCCCUACGUGGAGAAGCGCACGAGAACUUGUCACACGUACGUGGAGAAGCGCCUGCAUGUAAGGAGCACACAUCAAGGAGUAACGUGCUUCUCUGGUUAGUCUGAUGUUGAGAAUAAGCAUUUCAUUUCUACCGUAUCUGCUGAGCGCUUCUGCGUGCGAAGCGUCGAGGAAAGAAAAGGGUCCAUAUCAAAAGCUGGUCGAGCUAAUCUGACGACAUGUGCGCGUCAAGAUGGAUGAGUGGGAUGGUGGGUUGAGAGGCGUGCUUUCAGGACCACGACUUCACCUUUGAGAUGGUGGAUACGAAACGAUGUGGCAUGCCGCCACAGCUCGCGCUUCCGAGUAAUCGAGGAUAAAGCAGCAGGGGGUCCAUGUUAAUUAAUAAUGGAACGUUUCAUGCUAAGCCUCGAGCAAGUACGUACAUAACUACGGAUAUUGUUGAUCACUGAUUAUAUACGAUCUAGUAUAGUUUGAGUCAAAUUUCAAUUUAAUUUAAUUGGAGUUUCAGUCAAAUUUUAAUUUGAUCCCGAUCAAACCAAACAAAGAUCAAAUUCAAUCUCAAGCAGCUCAAAGACCGGAUUUAAGUAUAGAUCAACUCCCAAGUCCUGAAAGCGUUACGACUCCAAGUCUUAAUAUAAUUAGGACUUCACCUCUUUCUCAGCUAUAAAUGGAGGAGGAGAACUUCAUCUAAAGUAUCUCAAAUCAAUCUAAGUCGUGCUUUCUCUCAAGAAGCCAACCGAUUCUAAGCUGAGAGAAAAAAAAGAAGAAAGAGAAAAGGAGGAGGAUAGCAGCAGCGCCCUUUCUUCUAUCCAGCUUUCUAGCCGGCAUAUGGCAGCUUCCUACGUGAGAGCAAUAACAAUAGUCAAAUAGGAGAUAAAAAGGAAGAAAGCCUUCUGAUGCAUACUGAUGUUCCAGUAUAUACCGUAUUAAUGUACUCAUACACCAGUAUGUAUCAUACGUAAAAACAUCCAAGUUAAAUCUAGCAUGUAUAUUUGCUCGUCCACGAUGAGCAUAUUCCAUGUGGGUAUGCAGUUAGAUUUAUGGUCGUUAUUACAUUUUUAAGGAAUAAUUUAAAUGUUUUUAAUUUUCCAGUCAACAUCCAAGAUAAAAAGACCAUUUAUUUUAUCGUUUAGGCAGAGAUUAGAAGAAUAGAAAGGUUCCAUUUUUGCAAUUAUGCACGUUGGACUCAGUUUGAUUAAUAAUCAUGUGGAUUGUCUGUUCAAGCAUCUCCACUUACGUCUUCUGAAGUCUAAGUACAAGUUGGUCAUGCAGCAUUGCCCAUGCAACAGCAAUUCUCUGCAUUUUAGAGAGAGGUGAAAAUUGUAAGUGAUAUUUGUGCUUCUUAUAUCUGGUGAUAUGUUGCAUGUUGCCUUCAAAGCAAUGUGAAAUGACAAAAAAUGAUUAAGGAACGACGACAUCACGAAGCGAUGUAGCUCAGCUCAAAAGCAACAUCGCUUGGCUCUAGUCUAGAUUGAUGUUUGCUUGUAUAGCUGGAGCCGUAGAAGACACAAUCUUCUACUAAAAAUUCUUGCCAUUUUGUCUUUGUCUUGUAGUUCCCUGUCUACUUGUUUUAUUUUAGAGGUGCCCAACACAUAUUUUGGGAUCAUAGGGGGAGGUCGACCAUACAUAGCCUCAUAGGGAGUAUAUUUUGUGGAUGAAUGAUAAGUUAUAUUAUACCACCACUCAGCCCAAGGAAGUCACUUUGUCCACUCUUUUAGUCGAUCACUGGUGAAGCAUUUGAGGUAUGUCUCCAAGCAUAUGUUCACCACUUCAGUCUGGCCGUCGAUUUGUGGGUGAUAUGCCGCACUCAUUUUCAAUUUAAUGCCUUGCAUAUGGAAUAACUCUGUCCAAAAUCUAUUCGUGAAGAUCCUAUCACAAUCACUUACAAUAGAUCUCGGCAUCCCAUGUAAUUUUAUAAUAUUCUCCAUAAAGAUUCGAGCAAUACUAGAAACAGUGUAGGGAUUACGAACAAUGCAAAAGUGAGCAUACUAUGCAAAGCAACCCACCACAACAAAAAUUGUACCUUUUCCUUGUGAUGAGGGAAGCCCUUUGAUGAGGGCACUUAUGAUCACACAUCAAAAUUAUUCCGUCGGUGACUUUAACAUCAAACCUGCUAUAAUUCUCAAUAGGUAAAGCCGUCGGGGUAGCAAUCUUGCUGUUCAUAAAAUUAUUAGUACUCCUAGUGUCAGUAAGAAUGAUGAUAGGUUGUUGCUUCAGAAGUCUUCCCACUUUUAUCGUUUGCGGGUUCGCAUAAUGGGCAAGGGCAUGCAUUGUAAUAUCAAUCAAUUGCUGUUCUUCAUCUGCGACCUCUUCCUCAUGCUCUUGGACCUCCUCCUCCAUGUCUUUAAGAGGUUCAAUCAGUAGGAGGUGGCCCCUUUUGCAGUGAUGAUCAUGGUUCCAUGGCUUGUCGCAAUGCUAACAAAGACCCUUUGCUGAUCGGUCAUAUAGUUCUUCUCUUAUCAAUUUUUUUGGUAGCGAAGGAUGGCUGGGAGUAGAUGGAGCUUUAUAUGCCAUGGGCCUAGGAGAGGUUCUUAUCUUUUGAGUAUCAUGGUUGAGCUGUUCUUCUUAUAUUCGGGUGAAAGAAAUCACACCUGUCAUGGUACGGGGCUAUCGCUCCUUAACCUCCCCUUUUAUCUCUGGAUUGAGUCCUUCAAUGAAUGUUCCUAACAAUUGAUGGUCGGUCCAAUCACGAGCAAGGUAGGAUAGCUUCUUAAACUUAGUUUGGUACUUCUGAAUCGUAGAGAUUUAUCGUAUCUUUGCGAGUUGGCCAUCGAUAUUUUCAUACUCCAUAGGUCCGAAACAAUUUAGCAGUGCGUUCUUAAAUUGAUUCUAUGUCGAGCUCUAUGAUUGUAUUACAGCUAAUUGUACCAUUGAAUAGCAUCUCCUUCAAGGUGGGUGAUAGCAAUUUCCACCAUAGCAUCAUCCGACGUUUAGUAGUAGCGAAAGUAACAUUCGGCGCGUGAAAUCCACCCUGCCGGGUCUCCUUCUUCCCAUCGCAGGAAGUCCACCCUCAUGCAUGGCUGAAGCAUGUCCAAGGGCUAUCCCUCCUUCUAUGGAGGUCUCUCUAAUUUGGCAUCAAUUGUAUCUUGAGAAGCUAUAGCAUAUACUUGUAGAUCAGAGAUGUCCCUAUCUUUUUUUAUUAAUGGGUUAAUGGCAUGGGGUGGUGGAAGGUUAAGAAAAAUUGAGGAUCACGGAAAGGUACUGUAGUAGGUUUUCAUGUUUAAAGUGUAGCAAUUUGGACAUAAAAGUUCAGUAGUUUAUAUUAAGAAUUUUUUGAUGAAACGAAAGGAAAAUCUGUUGUUAGGAAGUGUCAAAGAUGUCGUAAAAAUUUCGUAGAGAUUUGGAUAGAAAAAAUGCAAUAGCUGUUAAAAAUUAAACAAAGAAGAUAGAAAGAUAGAAAUUGUAGAAGAAAUUAUGAAAUGUAUAAGAUGUAAUUGCCUAAUUCAUUUUGAUAGUGAGCUCUUGAUAGCUAUUUAUACACACUCAGCAGGGAGGUUAUACACAUUCAGCAUGGAGGAUUUUUCUCAACUGCUUAGAGAUUUCCUCAAUUGCCUUGAGGAAAUCUUAUCUGCUUAUCAUGCCCCCAUAAGAUUGAGCUUCCAUCAAGGAUGCCGAUCUUGGACCGAUGAGAUGAAAAAAGUUUGCGGGCGAGAGGUUUUGUGAGUGAGUCUGCUAGUUGAUCAGCUGUAUGUACGUGAGAAACAUGGAGUUGAUAUCUGACAACUUGAUCUUGCACGAAGUGGAAGUCGAUGGCAAUGUGUUUCAUGCGGGAAUGGAACACUAGAUUAGCACAUAAGUAGGUAGCUCCAAUAUUAUCACAAUAUAUUGUAGGAAUAACUGUGGAGUUGACGUUGAGUUCCUUGAGCAGAUUUGUGACCCAAUUGAGUUCAGCAGCGGCAGUGGCGAUGGCACAGUAUUCAGCUUCAAUUGUAGAUCGUGCAACCGUCUUUUGUUUUUUAGAACUCCAACUGAUUAGAGUAGCUCCAAGGAAGACAAUGUAUCUUGACGUAGAUGUUCUAUCAUUAAAGUUCCCUACCCAAUCAGCAUCAGUAAAGGCAUGGAGAUGGAGUGAAGUAUUUUUGCAAAGAAAAAUGCCAUGAUUAAGAGUCCCUUAAGAUACCGCAAAAUUCGUUUGACCGCAGACCAAUGCGUAGUAGAUGGUUGAUGCAUGAAUUGCGAUAAUUUAUUGACAGCAAAUGAAAUAUCUAGACGGGUGAGAGCUAAGUAUUGUAAGGAGCCAAGGGCUUGUCGAUAUUGAGUCGAAUAUGUAGCAGGACUUCCAUCACAUAAUUUAAGUGAUUCACUGGUAGAGAGAGGAGUUGUAACCUCUUUCGCAUCCUGCAUGUUUGUCUUUGAUAGUAAAUCUUGAAUAUACUUUCUUUGUGAUAGGAAGAGACCUGAAGAUGUAAAUGUUGCUUCCACUCCUAGAAAGUAGCUUAAAGUUCCUAGAUCUUUAAGGGAAAAUCGAUCGGCCAAGUGCUUUAGAAAUGCCUGAGUCUUCAAAGGAUCAUUUUCCAUGACAAUAAUAUCAUCCACAUAUACUAAAAGAUAUAUUAUGCUUCUAUUGUGCUGGCAAAUGAAUAACGAGGUAUCAGACUUGGAAUUGAUGAAGCCAAUUGAGGUAAAAAAGGAACCAAGCUCGUUAUACCAAGCCCUUGGAGCUUGAUGAAGUCCAUAAAUAGCUUUUUGAAGUUUGCAGACAUGCCUUGGAUAUUGAGGAUGAACGAAACCAGGAGGUUGCUACAUAAAGACAUCUUCAGUAAGUGUCCCCUGUAAAAAGGCAUUAUUAACAUCCAAUUAUCGUAUGUGCCAGCCCUUUGAGAUGGCCAAACUCAGGAUAAGACGAAUUAUUGUGGGUUUAACAACGGGACUAAAUGUCUCUGUGAAGUCGACACCAGGUCAUUGAUGAAACCCUUUGGCGACUAGACAUGCUUUAUAUCUAGCAACGGAUCCGUCUGAGUUCCACUUAAUUCGAAAGACCCAUUUACACCCGAUGAUAUUUUAUGUGUGAUGAAAGGAUACUAAGGUCCAUGUAGAGUUAUAAAGGAGAGCAUCAUAUUCGUCACACAUGGCUUUAAGCUAGUGAGAAGAUUUUUGAGCUUGAGUGAUUGUAAUGGGUUUACUAGCCUCAAUGGAGGAACUUGUUAUAGCAUGUAAGUCAAGGACUUGACGUGGUUUGAAAAUAUCACUUUUGGAGCGUGUUGUCAUUGGAUGUCUAGGGGGGAUAGAAGUGGUAGAUUGUAUUGGUGGUAUAGCUGAGGGUGAGUCAUCGUCAUGGAUCGGGUCAAUCGUCGGCACGACAAUGUCACUAGGUCUAGGAGAAGGUAAAGCCAGUGGCAAUGUUGCCGAGGGUAUUACUUUAUUAAUAGGGGAAACUUGUGAGGAAGGGAGUGGAGAAAUAGAGGGAGUGAGAAGCUGUUGAACUGGAGUAAUAGUAGUAUGCAGAUCUUGAGGGUAAGGACUAGAUGGUGUCAUUGGAGGUUCGUGUGAUGAGAUCGGAGGGAUAUUCUAGUGAUGCAUGUUUAUCGGAGUAGCUUGCAUGGUAGGAUUAUUUUGAAAAGGAAAGACAGACUCCUCAAAAAUAACAUAACGUGAUAUAAAGACUUUUUUAGAUUAGGGUUCAUAGUAUCGAAAAGCAUUAUGUUCAAGAGAGUAGCCUAUAAAAGUGCAAGGCUUAGAUCGUGGUGCUAGCUUAUGUGAUGCAUAGGGACGGAGCCAUGGAUAACAUAAACAUCCAAAAACUUUGAGUUUAUGAAGGUUUGGAAGCUUGUGGAAUAAUUUUUCAAAUGGUGACUGGUAUUGUAAGACUGGAGUGAGCAUACAAUUAAUGAGAUAAACUACAGUUUGAAAAACUACUGACCAAAAAGGUGGUGGCAUGGAUGCUUGAUGUAGAAGGGAGAGACCAAUUUCAACGAUAUGUCGAUGUUUGCGUUCGGUAGAGCCAACCAAUUGGGGAGUAUGUGGGGGUGACUUGAGGUGUUGUAUACCACAAGCAGAGAGACAAGAUGUGAGGGCUUGAUAUUUGCCUCCGCCAUCAGAGUAAACUGUUUUAAUGGAAGAUUGAAAAAAAUUCUCGACCAACUUUCGAAAGUUGGUAAAUACUGUGGAAACAUCAGACUUAUGGUGGAGAGGAUAUAACCAUGUAUACUUAGUAAAAUAGUCUACAAAAAUGACAUAAAAGUGAAACUUGUCAAAAGAAGGAACUGGGGCAGGGCCCCACACGUUGGUAUAAAUGAUUUCAAAUGGUUUAGAGCAAGAAAUGAAGGUUGUCCCAAAAGGCAGUUUAUGACUUUUAUUGCAAAGACAAGCAUCGUAAUGAUUGACAGUGCUAUUGAUUUUCAAGGUAGGAAGAGAAUAAUGAGAAAGUAAUUUUUGCUGAAUAAAAGGGGAGGGAUGACCAAGACGACGAUGCCAUACAUCAACCGGAGCUGUGACUUAAGAGUGAGUAGUAGGAAGGGUAAUUUGCGAAGCGGAUGGCCACUCAUAAAUGUUGCCUUUGUUCUGGCCCUGGACUAAGGAUGCCCCCGUGCUCAAAUCCUUGACAAGAAAAAAGUUAGGAAAGAAUUCAAUUGAGGUAUUAUUUUGUUUACAGAAUUGAGAAACGGAAAUGAGGUUUCUUUUAAUGUUAGGUACUAUAAAAGUUGUGGUAAGUGAACUAAGCAUUAAGGAACCAGAAUAAGUAAUAGGAAUUCUUUUACCGUCACCGACGAUGAUAUCUUCAUUUCCGUCAUAGUUGUUGUGGAUGGAUAAGUUUUGAAGAUCAGAGGUGAUGUGAUGAGAGGUGCCCGAGUCCACAAUCCAAUUAGGUUGGGUAGGAGUUGGAGUAGCCAUGAAAUUCGUCUGAGGCCACUAUGAUGGAGUAGGGAGUCUAGGGCGAGACCGAUAGACUUUCACGGAAUGUCCGACUUUAUCACAUAGUUGGCAAACGACUCGUUGGUAACUUGUGAAUUCAGGAUAUGACGGUUGAGGAUUAUGAAAGUUACCACCUUGAUAUAGAUAAGGGGGGUUUGUUCUGGGCCCCAUAGGUCUAGGAGGUAGCUUAGCAAAAUCGUUGUUGACAUGCUUAUUGUACUGGUUGCUCUUCCUCUUGGAUUUUUGAUUGACUUGAGCUAUAAUAGGUGGUCCGGGCAACUUAUCAUCACGCUUCAAGUACGUCUCAUAGUCGAUUAACUUAUCAUAAAGUUCUUCAAAUGAUAUUGGUGAGUUGUGUGCCCGAAGUGCUACUGCCAGUUCUUUGUACUCGCCUCCUAGGCCAUUGAGGAUAUGGAUUAGGACUUCUUCAUCAUUGAGAGAAUGACCUAUCAAAGCUAAAUCAUCGAUGAUAACUUUGAUAUUUUGUAUAUAAUCAGCAAUAGUACUUCCCUCUUGUUUCGUUUUCAUUAGAUUGGAGAGAAGUCCGAGCAUGCGAGUACGUGAGCGAUUUCCCAAAGUUGUUUGUAACUUGCAUCAUGCUUCUGCAGCAGUCGUACAUGAGGAUAUCAGUGGGGCAAUGGAUCGAACAAUGGAAGCUUGAAUAGCUUGGAGGAUGAGGCGAUCUUGACGUAACCAUAAUUUAUGAGCUGGAUUUGGCACUGGAUUGGGUUCACUUGGGAUGUUGAUCAUUUCAGGUGGACACUGGAGAGAGCCAUCAACAUAACUUAAGAGAUCAUAGCCAAAUAGAAGAUUAGAAAGUUGUGCCCGCCAAGAUGUGUAGUUGCCGCCUUUGGAUAAUUUGAAGGGAAUGAGUGCUGCAGCAUUGAUGGUGAUAAGACUUUGAGAAGUGCUCAGAGUCCCUGCAGAAACAGGUAUAGGAAUAUCAGAAGAAGAAAAUGAAGACAUCCUAGAUAUUUUGUGGUGGUUUAAGUGAUCUUUACAAAAGAUGUAAAGAUAUAGGAGGGAGGGAGGAGGAGAAAAGCAGAUCGAUGCGCUGUAGAGGAGGCUGCAAUGAAGAACUGCAGAGGAGGCUAUAGCGAUACUGUAGAGGAGGCUACAGCGAUGCAUUGUAGAGGAGGCUGCAACGAUGCAGCGAUUGGCAAGGAAGAUGCAGUGAUGCACUAUAGAGGAGUCUGUAGUGAUGGGUGAGGAAGCUGCAGCGAUGAGCAAGAAAUCUGCAGCGAUUAGGUGAAAAGAAAAAAAAAUCUAUAGCAGUUACAGUUGCAGAGAAAUUGCUAUGGCAGAGGGAAGCGGCUGCAGAUGGAAGCUGUAAAAACUGCAAUCGUUCCUAUUGCCGUAGGAAGGCAGUGAUAGAUGUGGUGGUAAGGAUGGUGGCAGCAGCACUUCUCGCUCGAGUGAGAUGUGAGAACGAGGAGGAGAGGUCGUUGGCCGGGGAGCAGUUGCGAGGGCGACGGCCACCACGGUAGUGUAGGCGAGGUUCUUGUGAGGGUAGGAGGUGGUCGAACAGUCUUCGACUCCGGAACAGGAAGCAGCGACACUGGAGGAGAGGUAAGCAGCAGCACUGCCCUUUCCAAUUGAAUAGAAAAGAGGAGCAGUAGAAGGCUUCGGCAGAGCUGCCUACAUCCGCAAGGAAGAAAGCUCUGAUACCAUGUUAAAAAUUAAACGAAGAAGAUAGAAAGAUAGAAAUUGUAGAAGAAACUAUGAAAUGUAUAAGAUGUAAUUGCCUAAUUCAUUUUGAUAGUGAGCUCUUGAUAGCUAUUUAUACACACUCAGUAGGGAGGUUAUACACAUUCAGCAUGGAGGAUUUUUCUCAACUACUUAGAGAUUUCCUUAACUACCUUGAGGAAAUCUUAUCUGCUUAUCAGUAGCAAGAUCAAACAAACUGUGCUAUGCGGUUGAAAUUCUACAGCGCAUCUUUCGUCGUAGAAAUGAAAACUUUGCGACAAAAAGUUUAUGCAGUAAUAUAGGAACAAAUUUUUUAGAUUUUUGAAUAAGGAUAACUAAAUUUCAAUAGUAGUAUAGUAGAAAACCAGAACCUAUUGCAAUUCACAGGGAGAUCAAAGGAUGAUCCGCGGUGGUGGAGAUGACGAUGGAAUUCGACGAUGAUUUUUUAAGCAAUUAUGAGAAUUGCUUUGGGCGGCUGUAGAGGGCUGAUGGAUGGCUAUGGAAGGGCAACGAGAUGUCAAGAAAGCUACUCUGUUACUAAGUAUUAGAACCCUUAUGAAUUCUAAGCUUGGGGUUGAUCUCUUUAGGGGAUCGAUCUCCUUGGAACUCUAUAAGGGUUCCUUCCUCCAAGUUGCUACUCAAAGACUGCUAAAAGGAUUUAUCUAUUUUUUAUUAAAAAAGGAUGAAUACAUGACUAUUUAUAGGGCUUCUAAACCCCAACUCCUAAUAGGACUCCUACUCAAGACUCCUAAUCAAUUAGGACUCCUACUCAAAACUCAUAAUAGGACUCAUAUUCAAGACUCCAACUCCUAAUGCUUAUCUAAGAAGCAACCUCCAAACUAAUCCUAUCCUCAGCCGGCCUCUUUCUCUCUUUAAUAAGGGUCAGUUAGGUUAGUUUUAUAUAAAUACCCAUGUCAAUAAAACUUAAUUAGGACUCUCCUAGUUAGAGUCCUAACAAAUUGGUUAUCUGCUUGUACUGCUUGAAUUCACAUGGUGGCUUGAUGUUAUCAUAAGCUAGGUUCUCACCUUCAGGUUGAGUUGAUUGGAUGGUUUAUGGUGAUUGUCAUAUGUCAUAGAAACAUUCUUCUGGAGCUGUCGAUUUGUGUUAAGAGUCCCAUUGGCAAUUAUGCCUAUCAUGAUAUCUCUUUAAAAGACUUCUUUCGUGAAAUGAUGUGAGGGUUGGUUAUCCUCGGUUCCCAUGGAAGACUGAAAGGUUUUUCCUCUCUAUUUCAGCCUCCAUAGCACACUAAAAUAGUUAUCAUAUCUGAAAUACUGUCAUAUUAUACUACUGUAUCAUAUGUCAUCAUUCCCAUUCUUUAGAUUGCUAUUUGUUAGAGUAAAUUUUAAAAUUUGAAACUAGAAGCUGUUUAGGAUCUAAGCAAAAUUCUUCUUCAAACUAGUCUAAGGUAGAACUCAUCAAGUCAAACCUUCAAACACCAUAAAAAUUACAUCAAAUUUUAUUUUUUAUAAUAUCCCUUAGAUAUUAAGUUAAGUAUUUAGUCAGAAAAGUUUAACUAAUAUUGUGUGUUAGAUAUUCUUGUGUAGCUUUUUUUAUAGUUGUUGUCUUGGGGGGCUGUUCCAUAACAGGUAUGGUAAUAGAAACAUAAGAAUUUAUUAUAAUUGUGCUUCACUGUUGUUGAGUUGUUAUAUUCAUCUAUUACACUAGUUAAAAUCACUAUCAACUAGUGUUGGACUAUUAUGUUAAUUCUGUUGAAUCUCAGAUUUUAAUGACGAAAUUAAUUGAUAAAGUUAUGAUUUAAUGUGUGUUUGAGUGAUGUAGAACUAACUUCGAUCAUGGAAAGAUAAAUCGAUUAAAGUAGGAGAAUUAAACAUAGGGUCGGAGUGGAAUAUAUCAGAAGAUUGGACAUUGAAUUGGAGGAUUGGUCGAAGUGCCGACAGAAGGACUUCAUGCCAUAAGUUCGGGCUUCGGGCUAGAAGAAUCAGAUAUUGUACCAAGAUCGGAUGUUCCGGGAGUUAACAUGCCGAAGGAUUGGAUAAUACGUCGAAGGAUCGGAUAAUACGUUGAAGGUUCUGACGAAGCGCCUGAUAAACCAAUGACAUACCAGACAAUAUAGGAUUCGUAUUUGUAAUCAUUUGUUUAGAUUUAAGUAGUUUAGGGGGCUAAUUGAGUUAGCUUUUGGUGUAAUCAUGUUAACUCCGACGAACGUCCAGACUUCCAUCGAACUCUCGAACUCCCAAUGAGAUCUCGAUCUUGACUCCGGCACAACACCUGCUUUAUGUCUUACUGCCAUCGUAGUUAAUCCUAUACACUUUUCUCAACAUAUAGAUUAGAUUAAACAAAUUUCAAUUGACUUCAUCAUCAAAAUUCGAGAUUCAACAAUCUCUCCCUUUUUGAUGAUGACAAUCAAUUGAUGAUGAAGUUAACCUUAACUCCCUCUAUCUAUAUGCCAUAUUUGAGAAAAGACAUUCUUGAAUUUAAGGCCUUUGAAUUCAAGAGACAUAUUGAUAAGUUAAGUUCAUUUAAACUUAUCAAUACACACAUCAUGAUUCCUAUCAUGAUCUAACAUUCUCAAAAUGAUGUCAAGGCAUGACAUCCAUUUUCAAGUAUGAUAUUUCAAAUAUGAAAGAUGACAAAGAUAGCAAUUCAUCAUUCUAUGGCAAGAUAUCAAUUGUAAAAUUAUAAGUUAAGCUCUAGAUAUCUUAUCAUAACGAAGAAAAUUUUAUCAAAAAUCAUAGAUGUGUUUAUGUAUGGUUUUUUAAUAAUGCAAGCAUUAGAUUCAAAUCUAACAAUAUAUCCUUUAUCACAUAAUUGACUAAUACUCAAAAGGUUAUGCUUUUAACCAUCAACUAACAAUACAUCUUCAAUAAGAAGGUUGGAUUUGUUACCUAUGGUUCCUUUGCCAAUGAUUUUACCCUUGUUGUUGUCUCCGAAGAUGACAUAUCCUUCGUCUAAGCUAGUAAGCUUAGAGAAAUGAGAUGGAUCUCCGGUCAUAUGUCUUGAGCAUCCACUAUCAAGGUACCAUCUUUUGCUCAUAGCUUGUGAUGGUAUAUUUUUCUACAAAAAGAGAUGAUUUUUAGGUACCCAUUUGAUCUUCGGUGCCUCAAAAAUUAAUCUACAUAACUUAUCAUAUUGCAUUGAGUCAUUUAAGGUUCUUUUAGGAACCUAAAUCAAUUUAUGUGGACUAUAUUUCUUGAAUGGACAUUUGUACGCAACAUGUCCAGGUUUGCAACAAAAGUUGCAUUUGGUGUGAGGUGAUACAUACAAGGUAGGGCCUUUAAUAAAGGUGGUUGAAAUUUGAUGAGAGCUACUCACAAACCCGAUUCCGCCUUUCCUAUGAACGUGACUCUUGUUGGCAAGGAUCAUAUUCAAGGACUUGCUACCAACCUCAAAUUUCUUCAAGGUAUCUUUGAGUAGCAAGUUUUCCUUUUGAAGUAUUUCUAAAUCAUGGCAUUUUGUGCAGGGAGCUAAGCUAUUUUCAUGCUCAAUCUUUACUCUAUCAAAAUUGCUAAUAAGAGAAGCAUAUUCCUUUUUUAAAGAAUUAUACUUUUUACUCAAAAUUCUACAUUCAUCAAAUAAUUCAUGAAAAGUACUUGAAAAAUCAUCGAAAGUUAAAUUUGCAUCUAAUGAACUGGUUACCUCAUCUCCAAUAGCCAUUAGCGAAUAGUGAGCAACUUGUUCGGUGUUGGUUGGCUCUUCUUCUUCGGAAGCACUUGAGUCAUCCCUGUAGCUUUGAGCGCCUUCUUCUUUGGUUGCCUCCAUUUUGCUUGGGGACAUUCACUCUUAAAGUAUCCCGGCUUUUUCCAUUCAUAGCAUAUCAUUUGUUCUUUUUUUAGUUCAAAUUUAUUUUUAGUAUCAUUUUUGAAUAUAUUUUUUUAUAAAAUUUUUAAAUUUUCUUGUUAAUAGUGCCAAGUCUUCAUCAAAGUCCUCAUCACUUGAGUUUUCUUUUAAGUGGUCUUCUUAUGUUCUUAGUGCUAUAUCCUUCCUGUUCUUUCGAAGGGUGUCCUCAAGCUCUUCAUGAGCUUUACAUGUCAUUUCAUAGGUCAUUAGUGACCCAAUUAGUUCUUCAAGAGGAAAAUUAUUUAGAUCUUUGGCUUCUUGAAUGACCGUUACUUUAGAGUCCCAAUUUUUUGGUAGGGAUCUUAAAAUCUUAUUAACAAGUUCAAAAUCCAAGAAAUUUUUACCAAGUCCUUUUAGAACAUUGAUGACAUCCAUAAAUUGGGUGUACAUGUCUCCAAUAAUCUCACUCGGUUUCAUUCGAAACAACUCAUAAGAAUGCACUAAAAGAUUAAUUUUUGAUUCCUUCACUCUACUAGUGCCUUCAUGAGUCACUUCGAGUAUGUGCCAAAUGUCAAAAGCCAUUUCACAAAUCGAUACUCGAUUAAACUCAUUUUUAUCUAAUGCACAAAAUAAGGCAUUCAUAGCCUUUAUAUUUAAAGUAAAAGUCUUCUUCUCCAACUCAUUCCAAUCAUUCAUUGGAAGAGAAGACUUUUGAAAACCGUUUUCGACAACGUUUCAAAGCUCAAAAUCCAUUGAAAUUAGGAAGAUCCUCAUUCUAGUCUCCCAAUAUGUGUAAUCCAUCCCAUUGAACAUGGACGGAUGUGUAAUUGAAUGACCCUCUAGGUUGCUGGCAAAUGCAAUCUCUCUUGGGUUUAAAACUAAAUGAGAGUGAACCUUGCUCUGAUACCAAUUGUUAGGAUCAAGAGAGGCACUAAGAGGGGGGGGGUGAAUUAGUGCAGUGGAAAACUUUCAUUAUUUUAAAAGAAACUUGUUUCGAUUAAAACCGAUUCUGAUGAGAAUGGUUUCGAUUCAAUCUGUUUCGCAAGAGAACACUAAGGUGAUUUGUCGUAAUAUAAAUUGCACAAAUAAAAAACAUUGGUAUCAUAAAGUCUUCGUAUGAUUAAAGCCGAUCUUGGAAGGUGUUUACUUGAAAGCGUAUGUGAAUGUAGUUAAAGCACAGUAAGGAGGAGAGGCAAUUUGCUAUAAGAGAAAGUUGCUCAAAGUAAAUGCAAACUGAGUUUUAGAGUAGUUCGGUCAAUGUGACCUAUAUAUACUUUCAGAUUCCUCGUCGACAUCUACUAAAGGCCUUCCUUCAAUAGGUGAAGACCGAAUACCUCUUUACAGUACUUUCUCCUUUUCUUGAGUUUAGAAGAUGAACCCUUACAAGUCUCACUCCUCUUUCUUGGAUGGUUACAAGGCUAAGAGAUUAAGGAGGAGAACUCUAACUUUUACAACACUUUAAGGCUCAAGAACUCAAGAUUAUGCUAAUAGGUUUCGUGCCCUUUCAUGCAUAAAAGGGUAGGGUUUUUAUAGGCCCUAAUGGCUUCAAAAAUAGAGCCAAAAAGUGUCUAAUCCUGGAUUUUCGGGGUCUUGGCGGUACCAUGUACUACUGCCUAACACCUGACACUGGGUGGUACCACAGCUUGACAGAGCUCGGAGAUCGAGCUCUGGCAGUACCACUGCCUGAUAGGGGCGGUAACAUCGCUAGCAGCAAUAACUGCUGGUGGUACCACCGCCCAGUCUGGGCAGUGCCACAGCCCAAAAAUACUAGGGGGCACUGCUUUCCAAGCGGUGCCACCACCGGCCAAGAAUUCAGGGGAUGAUUGGGCUAUUCAAUUCGGCCCAAAUCAACCCUGUUAAGGGCCCAGUUGGCCCCUAAUUAAGUUAGUGGGAUUAACUCCCAACCUAACUUAAUUUAAGCUCUAACUACGAUAAUUAAGAUAUUAUCACAGCUCUUCUUGUUUCGGUGAGUCAAUUGCUCUUUUGACGAGCUUCUGCCGUACUUCCGGCGAACAUCCGACGAACUCUCGGCAAUGCUCUAGCGGACUCCCGACAAGCUCUUGGACUUUGCGACGAUCUUCUUGGCAAGUUUUGAUGAGCUUAUAUGGCAAGCUCCUAGACUUCUCGGUUAAUUCCCGUAGAACUUCCGAUGAACGUCCGGACUUCCGUCGAACUCUCGAACCCCCAUUGAGAUCUCGAUCUUGACUCCGGCACAACACCUACUUUAUGUAUUACUGCCAUCGUAGUUAAUCUUGCACACUUUUCUCAACAUAUAGAUUAGAUCAAACAAAUUAUAACUGACUUCAUCAUCAAAAUCCAAGAUUCGAUAAUGAUCACUUGCAAGAAUGGUGAUUUGAUUAAGUGUGUAAUAGAUUUGAUUUAUGUUUGAUACACUUGAUCCUUUUCAUUGUUAAAGUUGAAGCAUGAUUUAAUGAAACUCAUUUAUUAUUUUUAAUUUGACUUGGUUCAAAUCCUUUCAUGAAUUUGGGUCUUCAUGGAUUCUUUCCUUACCCUUCUUCCUUUUUUUGUUCUUAUGACAAAGGAAGAAAGAGACUUGCAUAACUAAAGAAGAACCAAAAAGCUCUUGAGUAAAAUUAUUAGCUUAUUCAAAGAGAAAUUAUCAUGCAAAGUUUUUCUUACCUUCAUUUAUUGCUUGAAUUUUUACCACACUUACAUUAUUGAAUUAUUCUCCUUUUUUGUUGAUGACAAAGAGGGAGAAAUGUGACAAAUUGUUGACAAAAAUUGGUAUAUCUUAGAUAAAUGCAUAAUUGAUGACAAAAAUUACCAUGACUUAGAUAAAUGCAUAAAAUGUAUUUUAUCGUAAAUGAUUGAAAGUCUUGUGAAGACUUGAAAUAUAAUUAAAUAUUAUUGGUAUCGUCAAAUACAUACUUGAAAAAUAUCAAAAUGUUUGCUUGAAACGUAUCGGAAUAUGGCAUGAUUACUUGCAAAUGUUUGAUUCCUAGUAUCAUACUUGAGUUCAUAUUAAUUUGAUAAAUGUCUAUCAUAACGGUAAGGUAUCAUGAGCUUAAUUGCUAUUUACAAUUGAUAUCUUGAAUUGUUAUCUUUUACAUGAAUUGUCAUCUUGCUAAAUUUUAUAUUCGAAAUUCGUAAAUGAUGAUUGAUUAUCAUUGGACUUAAAAAUGGUUGUCAUGCCUUGACAUCAUUUUGACAAAUAUAUGGCAUCAUAUUUAGAAUUGGUAAAUUAUGAUAAGUAUCCUGAUGUGCAUGUUGAUAAGUUUAAAUAAAAAUAACUUAUCGGUUUGAUGUUUGAAUUCAAAGGCCUUGAAUUCAAGAAUGUCUUUUCUCAAGUAUGACAUAUAGAUAGGGGGAGUUAUGGUUAACUCCGUCAUCAAUUGAUUGUCAUUAUCAAAAAGGGGGAGAUUGUUAAAUCUCAUAUUUUGAUGAUGAAAUCAAUUGGUAAAUUGUUUGAUCUAAUCUAUGUGUUGAGAAAAGUGUGUAGGAUCAACUAUGAUAGUGGUAAGACAUAAAGUAAAUGAUGUGCUGGAGUUAAGAUCGAGAUUUCGUUGGGAGUUCAAGAGUUCGUCGGAAGUUUGGAUGUUCGUUGGAAGUUCUACUGGAACUAAUCGAGAAGUCCAGGAGCUCACCAAAGAAGCUCGUUGGAACUAGCCAAGAAGAUCGUCGUGAAGUCCAAGAGCUUACCAGAAGUCCAUCGGAACAUUACCGAGAGAUCGUCAGAAGUUCGCCAGAAGAUCGCCGAAAGAAUAAUUGAUAUACUAGAACAAGAAUGCUUUAUUAAAUGUCUUAAUUAUCAUAGUUAGAUCGUAAAUUGAGUUAGGAUUGGGAGGUAAUCCCACUAACUCAAUUUAGGGCUAACUAGGCCCUCAAUAGGGUUGAAUUGGGCCGGAUUGAACAGCCCAUUCAGUACCUGAAGUCAUGGCCGGCGGUGGCAUCGUCAGGAACUCGGUCUCCCAAGAGUUUUGCGCGGUGGUACCGCCCAGACUGGGUGGUGGUGCCACCAACAAUUAAUGCUAUCAGGCGGUGGUUCCAUUAGAGCUCGGUCUUCGAGCUCUGUCAACUGGUUGUACCACCUAGUGUUAGUCUGUAGGCAAUAGUACCACCCAAUAAUGGUGGUAGUACCGCCAGUACCCCGAAAUCCGGGGAUGUGAUACUUUUUGGCUCCAAUUCAGAAGCCAUUGGGGCCUAUAAAUACCCCACCCUUUUCUGUAUGAAAGGGAACGAAAGUGUUAACAUAAUCUUGAAUUCUUGGGGUGUUAAAAGUAUUAUAAAAGUGCAAGAGUCCUCCUCAUCUCUUUCUAAGUGUUCAAAUCAUUCAAGAGAGGUGUGAGGCUUGUAAGGGUUAUCUCCUAAACCUGUGAAAAGGAGAAAGUAAUGUAAAGAGGUGGUUGGUCUUCGCCUAUUGAAGGAAGACCAUUAGUGGAUGCCGAUGACCUCGACGGAGGAGAAAUCAGAAGUGGAUGUAGGUCACACCGACCGAACCACUAUAAAUUCUAGUUUUCAUUCUAUUAUUGCUAUUUACUUACUUUGCAUUAGCUUCACUUCCUUCUUACUUGGCUUUCACUACCCUUAUGAUCAAACAUUCCUUCAAGUUAUCUUCUGAGAUCAUUUUUAACGUACAAAGAAUUUUAAACCGUAAUUUUAAUCCACUGCACUAAUUCACAACCCCCCCCCCCCGUCUUAGUGCCACUCUUGUUCCUAACACAUGGGACCAGUGGAGUUGGGCAUAGUGGUACACAAAAGGCUAAUAGGUUGGGUGCAGUGGCAUAGGGUGCUGGUAGGGCUAGGCACAAUGGCAUAUAAAAGGUCAAUAGGCUGGGUGUGAUGGUAUAGGGGGCCUAUGCGGUCAAGCACGGUAGCACACAAAGGGUCGGUAUGCUAGUUCUGGUGGCACAGAGGACUAGUAAGGCUAGGCAUGAUGAUACACAAAGGGCUAGUGGAGUCGGUUGCAAUAGUGCAUAAGGGGGAAGUGGAGUCGGGCAUGAUAGUCCACAAAGGGCCGAUCGGCAAGGUGCGAUGGCAUAGAGAUCCACUAGGCUAGGUGCAAUGGCACAAAGGGUAAGUAAGGCCUGUUGUAUCUCAAAUUUUGAUGAUAAAAUUAAUUAAUAAAGUUAUGAUCUAAUGUGUAUUUAAGUGACGUAGGACUAGCAUCGAUCAUGAAGAGAUAAUUAAAGUAGGAAGAAUCAAUGUUAGGCUGAAGUGGAACAUGUUAGAAGAUUAGAUGUCGAGCCGAAGGAUCAGUCGAUGUAUCGACAGAAGGCUUCGUGCAAUGAGUAUGGGCAUUAGACCAAGAAGAUCGGACAUUGUGCCAAGGAGAUCGGGUGUUGCAAAAAGGUAACAUGCCGAUUGGGCAAUACGCCAAAGGAGAGGACGAUGCACCAAAGGGUUGGACGAAGCACUGAAUGAACCAAUGACAUGUAGGACAAUAUGUGAUUAAUGCUUUAUAAUAAUUGUCUAGAUUAAAGUAGUUUUAGUUUUAAUUGGGUUGGUUUAGAAUGUAAUUAGGAUAACUUAAUUAGGGGCUAAUUGGGCCUAUGCUGAGGCAAUUAUGGGCCACCAAGAUCUUAAGACUUUUAUUCACACUUUUUGUACUCUUUCAAGCAGAAAAGAGUGGGGUAUUUUAGUAGAACCCUUGUAGAUUCUAAGCUUAGGGUUGAUCUCUUUAGGGGAUCGACCUCCUUGGAACUCUAUAGGGAUUCCUUCCUCUAAGUUACUACUCAAAGGCUGUAGAAAAGAUUCAUCUAUUGCUUUUCAAAAGAGGAGAAAUACAUGGCUAUUUAUAGGGUUUCUAAACCCUAACUCCUAAUAGGACUCGUACUCAAGACUUCUAGUCCUUUACAAUUCUUAAUGCUUCUCUAAGAACAACUCCUAAUAGGACUCAUACUCAAAACUCCUAUUCCUUUACAACUCCUAAUUCUUCGCCAAGAAACAACCUCCUAACCCUAGCCGACCUCUUCAUCUCUUUAAUAGGGGUCAGCUUAGGUAGGUUUUAUAUGAAUGCCCCUCUCAAUUAGGAUUCUCCUAGCUAGAGUCCUAAUAGAUCCCUCUUCAAAUCAGCCUUGUCCUCGAGGCUGACGAUCCAUGAGUUCUGGGAAUUUGAUCUUCAAGUCGUCAUAGUUCUCCCAAGUGACACAUUCUGCUAGUAAGUUCACCCAUUGUAUUAGCACUUUAGUAGUGGGUCAUUGUCAUUGAGUCGUGAUCCAUCGAUCAAUAAUGACACUCGACUGGGUCGGGAGUUCUCUUUGGGUAGUUAUAUUUGGUGGAUGGCUUUGGGCUAUCUCCAAGCACCCGUUCACCACUUCCGUCUAGCCGUUGGUUUGUGGGUGAUACGUCAUACUCCUUUUUAAUUUAGUGCCCUACAUCUGGAAUAACUCUGUCCAAAAUCUGCUCAUGAAAAUGCAAGUAUAAUUUGGCACAAGCACAAUGCGUCCCCUAUAGUGUAAUUCUUUUGAGUCCCAAUUGUAAUGAGCCAUGGGGCUUGGUGCUUCCUCCAAUUUUUUUGUGAUCUUAUUGGUCUCCGAAUCUUCUUGACAUUCCAUCUUAAUAUCCUUAAGGAAGUCGCUGGUUAGAAGUGAAAUGACCGAAAAUUCAGCUUGCUCGGGUAGCCGCGAAAGCGCAUCUACAACAUCAUUCUCUUUCCCCUUUUUGUAAGUUCUUUCAUAAUCAAAUCCAAGAAGUUUUGUUACCUAUUUUUGCUACUCAGGGGAUGAUAUCUUUUGCUCUAAAAAGUACUUGAGGCUUCUAUGGUCAGUUUUAAUUUGAAAUCAUCGACUGAUCAAGUAGGGUCUCCACCUUAUUGCUGCGUGCAUAAUGGCGAGCAUCUCCUUAUCAUAUGUUGACUUAUUUUGAUGGAAGGGAGACAAUGUCUUGCUAGUGUAUGUGAGUGGUCGACCAUAUUACAUGAGAAUAGCUCCAAUUCUGACUCCAGAUGCAUCGGCCUCAAUAAUGAAGGGUUGGCUAAAAUCUGGUAGUGCUAGCACGAGCGUCGUCGUCAUGGCUGCCUUAAGUUUGUCAAAGGCAGCGGAGGCUCUGUCCGACCAUUGGAAGACAUCUUUUUUCAGUAAGGAAGUAAGUGGUGCACUAAUCUUUCUAUAGUUUUUCACGAACUUGCGGUAGUAGCCUGUUAAAUCUAGAAAGCCAUGUAGCAAUUUUAUGUUCCUCAGGGUCAGCUAGUUCUGCAUUGCAUCAAUUUUAAAGGGGUCCACUGCCACACCUUUCUCUGAUAUGAUAUGCCCAAUAUAUUCCACCUACUAUUAAAGAAAGCAAAAAUUCGUAGUGGUUAUUGUGUGUUCAAAAGGUGGUUUUUGGUAUGUCUUCUUCACACACUCGUAUUUGAUGAUACCCGGAUCAAAGGUCUAGUUUUGUGAAGAUUUGUGAUCCCUUUCAUCUAGUAAUUCAUCUACCAUUGGAAUAGGGUGUUUGUCCUUAACGGUUAUGCCAUUAAGAGCUCGGUAAUCAACACACAAUCACUAUGUUCCGUCCUUCUUUCGUACGAGGAGCACUGGUGAAGAGUAGGGGCUGCAACUUGGCCGAAU
rnacentral:lncRNA from 1 species